rnacentral:lncRNA from 1 species
UUCCACAGCUAUUUACAUAAUUAACUGUUCAGUUACAAUUCUGGCAAGCGUGCUGAAGAAAUAACAGGUCCUAAAUAAUUACAGCUAGUAUUACAAAGCAAGCGCUGCAUGCCAGGCUUACACAUACUGCUAACAUGUCUACUUUUUGCAACAACCUCUUGUGGUAGAGACGUCAUCUAAGAGGAGCUUGCAAGUCCAGAGGGCUUCCUGAAGGAAGUGAGCUGAGAAUAAUAUGAAAUUAACCAGACCAAGGGCCAUUCCAGGAAGAGAGAAUGGUUGCGCAGGGAACAAAUGAGGGAGCAGAAGGAAGGGGUUCUCCUAUCCGCUGCACGGCACUGCGCAGAAGACAGGGGAGCCAGGCAUUCCCUGAAGGGUGAAAAGCAAGGAGUAGAGCUGGGUAGUAGACUAGAAUUUAGGAGCCUGGCCUGGGGCCUGGGUGGGGCGAAAGAGGCGGAGCCUGAAUGGGGUGUGUAUAGGGGGGUUGCGUGUAGGGGUGUGUG